rnacentral:rRNA from 1 species
AGUCGCACGAGAAAGGGAGCAAUCCUAAGUAAAGUGGCGCACGGGUGAGUAACACGUGGAUCAUCUACCUUUUAGUGGGGAAUACCUCUGGGAAACCGGAGACAAUACCGCAUAAGCCUGUAAAGGGAAAGCAGCAAUGCGCUGAAAGAGGAGUCCGCGGCCGAUUAGCUAGUUGGCGGGGUAAUGGCCCACCAAGGCGAAGAUCGGUAGCCGGCCUGAGAGGGCACACGGCCACACUGGCACUGAAACACGGGCCAGACUCCUACGGGAGGCAGCAGUGGGGAAUCUUGCACAAUGGGCGAAAGCCUGAUGCAGCGACGCCGCGUGAGCGAUGAAGCCCUUCGGGGUGUAAAGCUCUUUCGACGGGAACGAUAAUGACGGUACCCGGAGAAGAAGCUGCGGCUAACUACGUGCCAGCAGCCGCGGUAAUACGUAGGCAGCGAGCGUUGUUCGGAAUUACUGGGCGUAAAGAGUGUGUAGGCGGUGUUCCCAGUCUGUUGUGAAAUCUCCCGGCUUAACUGGGAGGGUGCAGCGGAAACUAGAAUGCUAGAGGGUGGGAGAGGUAAGCGGAAUUCCUGGUGUAGCGGUGAAAUGCGUAGAUAUCAGGAGGAACACCUGUGGUGUAGACAGCUUACUGGACCACUUCUGACGCUGAGACACGAAAGCGUGGGUAGCAAACAGGAUUAGAUACCCUGGUAGUCCACGCCCUAAACGAUGCAUACUUGGUGUGAGCGAUUCAUUUCGUUCGUGCCGGAGCUAACGCGUUAAGUAUGCCG